rnacentral:rRNA from 1 species
AGAGUUUGAUCCUGGCUCAGGAUGAACGCUAGCGAUAGGCUUAACACAUGCAAGUCGAGGGGCAGCAUGGUCUUAGCUUGCUAAGACUGAUGGCGACCGGCGCACGGGUGCGUAACGCGUAUGCAACUUGCCUCACAGAGGGGGAUAACCCGUCGAAAGACGGACUAAUACCGCGUACACUCCAUCUUGGGCAUCCAAGGUAGAGGAAAUGAAAUUCGCUGUGAGAUAGGCAUGCGUCCCAUUAGCUAGUUGGUGAGGUAACGGCUCACCAAGGCGACGAUGGGUAGGGGAACUGAGAGGUUGAACCCCCACACUGGUACUGAGACACGGACCAGACUCCUACGGGAGGCAGCAGUGAGGAAUAUUGGUCAAUGGGCGAGAGCCUGAACCAGCCAAGUCGCGUGAAGGAUGACUGUCUUAUGGAUUGUAAACUUCUUUUAUACGGGAAUAACAAGAGCCACGUGUGGCUCCCUGCAUGUACCGUAUGAAUAAGCAUCGGCUAACUCCGUGCCAGCAGCCGCGGUAAUACGGAGGAUGCGAGCGUUAUCCGGAUUUAUUGGGUUUAAAGGGUGCGUAGGCGGCCUGUUAAGUCAGCGGUGAAAUCUAGGAGCUUAACUCCUAAAUUGCCAUUGAUACUGGCGGGCUUGAGUGUAGAUGAGGUAGGCGGAAUGCGUGGUGUAGCGGUGGAAUGCAUAGAUAUCACGCAGAACUCCGAUUGCGAAGGCAGCUUACUAAGGUACAACUGACGCUGAAGCACGAAAGCGUGGGUAUCAAACAGGAUUAGAUACCCUGGUAGUCCACGCAGUAAACGAUGAU